rnacentral:tRNA from 1 species
GAGCUGGAGCUCAGUGGUAGAGUGCUUGCCUAGCAUGUAUGAGGCCCGGGUUCGAUCCUCAGCACCACA